GACGAACGCUGGCGGCGUGCUUAACACAUGCAAGUCGAACGGAAAGGCCCUGCUUGCGUGGGGUGUUCGAGUGGCGAGCGGGUGUGAAACAUGUGAGUCACCCGCCCAUGACUGUGGGAUAACUUCAGGAAACUGGGGCUAACACCGGAUAGGAGCUCCUGCUGCAUGGUGGGGGUUGGAAAGUUUCGGCGGUUGGGGAUGGACUCGGGGCUUAUCAGCUUGUUGGUGGGGUAGUGGCUUACCAAGGCUUAGACGGGUAGCCGGCAUGAGAGGGUGAACGGCCACAAUGGGACUGAGAUACGGCCCAGACUCCUACGGGAGGCAGCAGUGGGGAAUAUUGCACAAUGGGCGGAAGCCUGAUGCAGCGACGCCGCGUGCGGGAUGACGGCCUUCGGGUUGUAAACCGCUUUCGGCUGUGACGAAGCGUGAGUGACGGUACUGGGUGAAGAAGCACCGGCUAACUACGUG
rnacentral:rRNA from 1 species